GGAGAUUUCUCCAACUCUUGGUCGUUCCUCUCUUUUCUUCUUGUUGUUCUUUGUUCUUCUUCUUCUCUUGAGUUAAGUUCAAGUUUAAAGGAAACUAACCAAUCUUGCAAGCGACAAUUUGUGUGGAGGUCCCCACGAUUGACUUGUAGAGGUAGCAUGGUUGACCAUUACUUUACCCAAAUCAGGAGGCCCGUAGAGAGUUUGAAUGGGACAAAUACUGACUGAGGCACUCAGUGUCACCACACGAGGUUUCCAGAGGCCAACACCAAGGAGGGCUAUUUAAUUUCUUUUGUUACACAUAAAACUAACCUUGGUGGGUUCAAAUCCUAAUUGUAGCCGCAGUUAGAGUGAACAUUCUUUGAGGCUAGCCUAUGAGUUUUCAAAAGAGUGAUUUAUUGGUGAUGUAUGCAUUCGAUUAUAUUUUUCCUAAUUUGUUUUUAACUUUAAUCGCGACUCUACUUUAUUUUAAGCCAAACGUGUAUUGGUUAUUAUUGCUAUGACUCUUCUCAUAUUCUUUGGUUUCAUUUUGAUUCCAUUAUGUGGCUUAUUCACUCAUUGCAUAAUCACAUUACUCAUCACUCUUCUUUUUCUCUCCUCAGGUUUAGUAGUGUGUGCGAUCUUUCCUUAUGCUGGGGAGCUACCUGCUUCAGGAAGCACUUAAAGAUGAGAAAGAAUCAAAAUAAAUAUUCUAGACCCUAAACGAAGAAGAUGGAGCUCCCUCGACAUCAACUAGAUAAGGACAAGACAAACAGGAUGGCUUAUGGGCAGCUUACGACCUGACUUAUGGUCGUAAGCCUUUUCUAGAGAACCUUGUAGGUAUAUUUAUGCCCGUAAGGAGGAGUUUGGAGUCAAACCAGAGGACUUUACGGGCAGGACUUAUGCCCGUAAGGAAGCCCAUUAGGACCAUCCAAAGGAGUUUAUGAGCAGAACUUACACUUGUAAGGACGGUCACAAAGUCAGCACAGUGAAGCUUACGAUCCAGCUCUUACGGCCAUAAGCAAGACCGUAAACAAAACAGAAAACUUUACGGAUGAGACUUACAAUAGUAAGUGUUCCCAUAAGGCUCGCGACUCAUCAUCUCCAGCUCCUUACAGCUACGUCCUUACGGUCGUAAGUAAGCAGUAAGUGAUAUAGUAUAAAUAGACAUAAUAAGGAUUUUUAGGGUAAUUUUUAUUUCUUUUCUUGGAGAUGAGGCUAGGGAAAAAAGGAGGAAAAUCUCUAGGGUUUCAGAGGUAAUUUUUGAAGGGGAUACAAUUCCAUCAUCAAGGAGAAGAAGAUCAUAUCAGUCAAGCCUACCUUGGCGGCAUUCAUAGAAGUUUCUUUGGAGUUUUCCAUCAAUCAACUUUCGGUACAAUUAAGAAGGGGGUUUAAUGCUUAUGUCUAUUCUCUUCGUGUCUUGUAAUUUGAAUGUUUGCUCUCCAUUAUUGGAGGGUUAAUUUCUUAGAUGUUUGGGUAUAGUUGAACUCUAGGUUUUAAUAUUUCGACAUUGGUUGUGGACCUUAA